GAAAAAAAAGGGGGGGGGAUUCAUUCUGUUUUAAGCAGGAUGAAAUAUGAUACAGAAAAGCAAGCUCUACGCACUUGUGAGGAUUGGAAACAUUUACAACUGACUCUUCCUGAAGCUCCAGAGGCCAGGCUGUUCUUUCUCGAAGGAGGAGGAGGGAGCUUCAGGAGACGGGCCCACAUCUGUACCCGUACUGUACCAAACGGACACACCAAGGUUCUUGGUUGCAUGGAUUGUAGGCGCCACUUCAUCGGAGCAUGCGCACGCCACUUGACUCUAGUUCACUGCUACUCGUCAGGGUUCCAGGAUUCCAAACAGUUCAUAUUGAGAAACCAUUGAGUGGUUCAAGUGGAGGAAUCAUUUGAUUACGUUGACUUUCUUCUAUUCAGUGAUUGUUAACUGUGAACAGUCUCUCAUACUUCCCGUAGGGGACCUUUGGCAAUGUUUGAACCCAUUUUUGAUCGUCACUACUUCAAAAGCGGGCUGGGAGCAAGACACACCAUCUUCAUUUCUUUUCCAGUGUCUGUCCCUCAAAGGGAGACCUAGUUACAAGAAACGCACACCACAGUAGAGUUGAAGAUGGAGCUAUGUUUUAAAGCUUUGCCAGCUGAAGUGCUUACUGCUUAGGGAGACAUGGACGCUCUGAGAUAAGUAUCAGGAGCAACCCAGCUUGUCAUGUCCGGAAGGAUUUGAUGGAGACAUCUUCUUGUUCCCUCAGAACCCAUAAGGUCUAUUUUGGAACUUGGUUAAAGGGUGAACCUUCAGAGCACCAUUCUUUCUUGGAAGAAAAAUGUAGUGAUGAUGAUAAAAUCCAAUAGAGGCCACAGAUCCUGAACACAAGGACAUAAGAUAUCAUCAAGCCCCGUAAUCAAAUGGACCUGUACUAGUAUCUCAGCACGGAUGUGGAAGGCCAGAAGGACCUCACCCAGUUAUGCUGUUGCCAGUAAAUUGAAAUGGUACUGAAGCCUCAGGUGCAACAUUUUCAACAGUUUCCAUCAUAUUUGUACAGUAUCUUCUUAUUGUUGUUAAAGCUACAUCUUAAAUGCUCUCGUGAUAAGCUUUACACUGUGGAAAAAAAUACACAAUGAUGAAUAGAAAUUUGAUACCCAUCUUCAUCAGUGUUCUAUUUUUUGUGAAGAGGCACCAUGACCAAGGCAACUCGUAUAAACGAAAAAAAUUAAUUUGGGCUGGCUUGUAUUUUCACAGAGACACCGACAAAUCUAGUAAGGAAGAUAAAGGAUGCAAAAAUUUAAACAUCUCCAAGAUGUACUUCCUCUCACAGAGUCAACAUGACAACGCUGUAAAUGUGUGAUGUUUUGAGAUCUCUAGAUGAAAGACCCUGUGGAAAUAAGGCAUCAUUACCACUGAUUUUACUGUACCUGCCGAACAGCAUUUGUGAAAUUACGGAAAAGCCCCGUAGCACGGCCUCUUCAUCAGGGCACUCUUUACAACAUGGGCAAAAAUUUCUAGUCUAUUAACAGGCUUCAAUAACAUAUAUAAAUUUACGAUCCAAAUACUGAAAAGAAUUGAAUAAUGUUUUAUCAGGUGGAAAAGAUGAAAUUUGACAAAUUAAUAGCUUUUCAAAAAUUUGUUGACAUAGAAUAAAACCAAAAUAAUAUCUCAUCUUAAAUAUUGUCAGUUUUGUUGUCUGCCUUCCCAAGGGAAAGAGAGUCCUCAACUCACUGGUUUUUUUUUUUUCUUUUUCUUUUUGGGCCUAGAAUUAGGAAUGAAUUUGUAUAUCCUGCAGUUUAGUUGGUGAUUUUCUUUUCUUUCUGAGAGCUUUGUUCCCUGGGAUGAGAGGCACUCUAUUCCUUUUCUUACCAUUUGGUGUGUGUUUUUUACUAACCACACACACAUGGGAUUGACUCAUACCAAAGGAGCCUCAGCUAAAGGAGCCAGGACAUAAGCGUGCUCACGGUGACCCCUGACCCACAAAAGACUGUUCGUCAUGUCUUGUGACGUGAUUACCCAGCGAGGCAAUGAAACUUCUUUGUUCGGGUCAUGCACACAUUUUGCUGCGCUAUUAAAAAAUACUUAAAAAUGGAGAUAAACAUAUUAAACAUCCAUUUUAUUUUAGUGUAGUUAAGAAAUAAAUUUGAACUACUUUGAAAUAUAAAAUGCAUGUUUUAUAUGAAGCAACAUGUGUUUGCUGCUCAAAACUAGGCAACAGGAGAAGAUAGUGCAUUGUUGUGUUCUGCAUUUAGCAUACUUAAGCUAAAAGUCUAGACUGUCUCAAAUGCUUAUUUUUAAAAUAUAGACAUUAUUUAAUGCUUUUGGAAAAAUUACAAUCUUUUAUUUUCAUUAUCCUCAUUUUGCAUAUUAUUUUACUACUUUUUGACAUAAGAGAUAAGAAAAAAUGCAAAUAUACAAACACACUAAAUUCCAGCAGCAAUUUCUGUCACAAGGUAUAGGGACUGUUGACAUACCCUUCUAGGAGCUUCUCAGUUUUUCAAUCAGCUUCAAAAAUAAACAAGCUCUUAAAUUAGCUCAUUUGUUAUGGAAAACUCACUGACCCCUCUUCAAGUGUAUGUUAGUCCGUCGUCUGCUCCAGAGGCUACUAAAGAUGUCUUUGUUAUGUUGUCAGAAAUAAAAGUGUAAUA